UACGGAGGAUGCAAGCGUUAUCCGGAAUGAUUGGGCGUAAAGCGUCCGCAGGUGGCUAUGUAAGUCUGCUGUUAAAGAGUGAGGCUCAACCUCAUAAAAGCAGUGGAAACUACAUGGCUAGAGUGCGUUCGGGGCAGAGGGAAUUCCUGGUGUAGCGGUGAAAUGCGCAGAUAUCGGGAGGAACACCGGUGGCGAAAGCGCUCUGCUAGGCCGCAACUGACACUGAGGGACGAAAGCUAGGGGAGCGAAUGGG
rnacentral:rRNA from 1 species